UCAGGGAUAAUUCAUCGAAAGGUGAACUAAUACCGGAUAGUCCCGCAAGGGUAAAGAUUUAUCGGUUUGGGAGGGGCCUGCGGCCUAUCAGUUAGUUGGUGAGGUAAAAGCUCACCAAGACUAUGACGGGUAGCUGAUCUGAGAGGAUGAUCAGCCAGAAUGGGACUGAGACACGGCCCAUACUCCUACGGGAGGCAGCAGUGAGGAAUAUUCCGCAAUGGGGGCAACCCUGACGGAGCGACACCGCGUGGAGGAUGACACCAUUUUUGGCGUAAACUCCUGUCCUGAGGGAAGAAAUUUUUGACGGUACCUCAGAAGAAAGCACCGGCUAAUUCCGUGCCAGCAGCCGCGGUAAGACGGAAGGUGCAAGCGUUACUCGGAAUUACUGGGCGUAAAGGGUCCGCAGCCGAUUAGGUCAGUCUGAUGUAAAAACGCAGAGCUCAACUCUGCGCUCGUAUCGGAAACUGCCUAGAUUGAGUUAUAGAAAGGUAUCUGGAAUGUCAUGUGUAGGGGUAAAAUCCGUUGAUCCAUGAUGGAACGCCGAAAGCGAAAGCAGGAUACUAGCUAUAUACUGACGGUCAGGGACGAAAGCGUGGGGAGCAAAGGGGAUUAGAUACCCCCGUAGUCCACGCCCUAAACGAUGCAUGCUCGGUGUGGGAAUUAUCAAUUGAUUUCCGUGCCUUAGUUAACACGGUAAGCAUGCCGCCUGUGAAGUACGGCCGCAAGGCUAAAACAUAAAGGAAUAGACGGGGACCCACACAAGCGGUGGAGCGUGGGGUUUAAUUCGAUGAUAAGCGGAAAACCUCACCCAGACUUGACAUCCUGAGAAAAUUUAAGAAAUUAGAUCGUGCCUUUAUUGGAACUCAGUGACAGGUGAUGCACGGUCGUCGUCAGCUCGUGCCUUGAGGUGUACUGUUAAGUCAGCAAACGAGCGCAACCCUCAUCUUAUGUUGUUUUUUCAUAAGAGACUGCCGCCUCCAAGGCGGAGGAAGGUGAGGAUGACGUCAGAUCUGCGUGUCCCUUAUGUCUGGGGCAACACCCGCGCUACAAUGGCCGGAACAAAGGGUAGCCAACCCGCGAGGGGGAGCCAAUCCCACAAAUCCGGUCUCAGUUCGGAUUGGAGUCUGCAACUCGACUCCAUGAAGUUGGAAUCGCUAGUAACCGUGAAUCAGCACGUCACGGUGAAUAUGUACCUGGGUCUUGU
rnacentral:rRNA from 1 species